rnacentral:rRNA from 1 species
AACACGUGAUAUUUUGACUGAAACUGGGGGGGACCACCCUCCAAUCCUAAAAUACUACUUACAGAUCGAUAGUGAACAAGUACCGUGAGGGAAAAGGUGAAAAGUACUCCAGCGAGGAGAGUGAAAUAGAACCUGAAACCAUUAGCUUACAAUCAUUCAGAGCCCUAUGAUUUAUCAGGGUGAUGGACUGCCUUUUGCAUAAUGAGCCUGCGAGUUGUGGUGUCUGGCAAGGUUAAGUCAAGUACGAAGCCGUAGCGAAAGCGAGUCUUAAUAGGGCGAAUUAGUCAGAUGCUGCAGACCCGAAACGAAGUGAUCUAUCCAUGAGCAGGUUGAAGCUGGUGUAAGAGCCAGUGGAGGACCGAACCCGCAGGCGUUGAAAAGUCUUGGGAUGACUUGUGGAUAGGGGUGAAAGGCCAAUCAAACUUCGUGAUAGCUGGUUCUCUCCGAAAUAUAUUUAGGUAUAGCCUUGUGUUGUAGCAUAUAGGGGUAGAGCACUGAAUGGGCUAGGGCU